rnacentral:rRNA from 1 species
UACGAGGGGGGCGAGCGUUGUUCGGAAUUAUUGGGCGUAAAGGGUGCGUAGGCGGUUUGGUAAGUCUCGUGUGAAAUCUACAGGCUCAACUUGUAGUCUGCACGAGAAACUGCCGGGCUUGAGUGUGGGAGAGGUGAGUGGAAUUCCCGGUGUAGCGGUGAAAUGCGUAGAUAUCAGGAGGAACACCUGUGGCGAAAGCGGCUCACUGGACCACAACUGACGCUGAGGCGCGAAAGCUAGGGGAGCAAACAGG